rnacentral:sRNA from 1 species
GGAUGGGGACAGCCGAGAUGGCGGCGGCGGCAAGGACGCCACCGGGUCGGAGGACUACGAGAACCUGCCGACUAGCGCCUCCGUGUCCACCCACAUGACAGCAGGAGCGAUGGCCGGGAUCCUGGAGCACUCGGUCAUGUACCCGGUGGACUCGGUGAAGACACGAAUGCAGAGUUUGAGUCCAGAUCCCAAAGCCCGGUACACAAGUAUCUACGGAGCCCUCAAGAAAAUCAUGCGGACCGAAGGCUUCUGGAGGCCCUUGCGAGGCGUCAACGUCAUGAUCAUGGGUGCAGGGCCGGCCCAUGCCAUGUAUUUUGCCUGCUAUGAAAACAUGAAAAGGACUUUAAAUGACGUUUUCCACCACCAAGGAAACAGCCACCUAGCCAACGGUAUUUUGAAAGCGUUUGUCUGGAGUUAGAAAGUUCUCUUCUUCAACACGUCCCUCCCCAGGGUGUUCCUCCCUGUGACCCAGCCGCCUCGACUUCGGCCCGCUUGCUCACGAAUAAAGAACUCAGAGUUGUGUGUGCAAUGCACACCCAGACACACGCACACACAUGCGCGCGCACACACAUGCUUUUUUCUGUUCCCCUCCGCUUUCUGAAGCCUGGGGAGAAAUCAGUGACAGAGGUGUUUUGGUUUUAUUGUUAUGUGGGUUUUCUUUUCUAUUUUUUUUUGUUUUGUUUUUAAACAUUCAAAAGCAAUUAAUGAUCAGACAUAGGAGAAACCCUGAAUAGAAACAAAACUUUUGAAUGCUGGAUUCAAAAAAAAAAAAAGUUAUCUGGACAGCUUCUUUGAGACUAUUUAAAAACUGGUACAACAGGUCUCUACAACGCCAAGAUCUAACUAAGCUUUAAAAGGUCAAGAAGUUUUAUGGCUGACAAAGGACUCGCGCAACGCAGAAGGCCUUUCCCACCUUAAGCUUCCGGGGAUCUGGGAAUUUUACCCCCAUUCUCUUCUGUUUGUCUGAGUCUCAUCUCUCUGCAAGCAAGGGCUGAAAUCAUUUUGUUUGGUUGUUUUGAGGGAGAGAGGCGGGGUGGGGGGGUGCAAAUCUGCCAGCAGCUCUUACAUAAGGCAUGUUUUAUUGCGGAGGGCUGAGCUUUUAUUUUCUCCUCUCCAGUGGGGUUGGCUUUUGUUGUUUCUUGUUUGGGUUUGGAAUGGAAAUAUGGAUAGCAGCAUAAAGUACUUUUAUUUUGACAAAAUUCAUUUUUUUCAACAAUGGAGACAUAGAUUUGACCAACAAUAACUUCUCCCCCUCUCUUUUUACUCUGCUCAAAAAGCAUCUCUCCUCCCAUUACCCAACCUUGGUCAUAAGUGUGCCUGGCUGGUUUGCAGAUAUUUGUUCUGCUUUGUAAAAAUUGGCCAUUAGUGCAUUUAUUGAGAUGAUCUCUAAAGAGCUAUGCCCUGACCUACCCCUGAUUCUAUGACAUUGGGGCCCUUCUUUUGCUGAAACUGCCUUACAUAAUGGUUUUACUCCUUGAAAGAGAUUUGACGGAAUCCAUUUUAUGCCAAGUGCUGCCCUGCACUGUUUCUGCAAUGUGUGGUGUAUGCUGUGGUGAUCUUGCUGGGAAUGAUUAUAAGUGUGUGUGUGGUGGGGGAGUGGGUACUACAUGCAUUGCUGAAGAGUCAUCCUGGUGUUCCUCAUUCCUCCCACCUUCCCGUGGUCAUUUUAAUUACGGGGCAGUGUCACCGCAAAGGGAGGAAACUCAAAGCCGAAAGCAAAAUUCCAGGCCUGAUUCUGGCUUUUGAGGUUCCUGGUUCUUGAAGCCAGGCCUGACCCGACUCUCAGAUGGGGUCAGUCCCGUCGCUUUGCAGACUGACCCUGGAAAUCUACAAAAUGCAGAUUCUCCUGAUUUCCUCUUUUCUUGCCCAGUUUUUUUUUUUUUUUUUUUUUUUUAAAGCCUGGAUUUUAACCAGAUUUUCUUUUUUCCCCCUUCUCAGCUGUAGAUAUGAUAUUAUCUCCUUUCAGGGCCCCAGCUUAAGGGCAAAGUGAGUUAAUGUGUAGACAAAGGCGAGGGACAAGAGAGAGUUAACAUCUAGACAGUGGAAAAAGCCAUGGUGUGUGGUUUCUGGGAACCACCAACACUUGCAGGUUUAGCUUUUUCCCAGGGUUGACUACAAGAAAGAAAACCAUGUUUUUGCAAGAUUAAAAUGUGGUUGAGUGUGCCUAAAUUAACCAUCCCCAUUUUUAUCGUAUUUCCACCGUCACUUUAGGGUUUUAAGAGUCAGUGCUCACCUGGGCGGAGCUGGUAGUACAUUUUGCUUCUUAGAAAGCUAAGUCCUGGGUUCCGUCCGAUUUUAGGUUCCAGGAACUUCCUGAGAACACCCGAUCGCAGAGGGUAAUUUUCUGGAGUUUGUUUUGCAGGGAUAGCUGGGAGUAUGGCCACCCUGCUCCACGAUGCGGUAAUGAAUCCAGCAGAAGGUAAUGUUUCAUGGUCCCAGGGAGGGGCAGUAGGGGAUGUGCAAAGGGGCACAAAAAAUGGUUGUGGGGGAGUGGAGAGGACUGAAGGUGGGCAGAGCGGCUCCUAGUCUCCAGUCAGAGCGGCUCCUAGUCUCCAGUCAGAGCAGACAGGAGAAUUGAAUUUUUUACUACGUUAUCAAAGGCCUCAAGAAAGGACGUGAACAUAAGAGUUUUUGGUAUUCCUGUGCUCGGAGCUACUCAAAGUGUGUUCUACAGACCAGCAGCAUCAGACAUCUUGAGGGGUGUUGGAAAUGCUAAUUCUGAGUCUGGGUGCAGUGGCUCAUGCCUGUAAUCCCAGCAUUUUUUGGGAGGCCGAGGUGGGCGGAUCACUUGAGGUCAGGAGUUUGAGACCAGCCUGGCCAACAUGGAGAGACCCCCAUCUCUACUAAAAAUACAAAAAUUAGCCUAGUAUGGUGUGUGCACCUGUAAUCCCAGCUACUGGGGUGGCCGAGGUGGGAGAAUCGCUUGAACCCAGCAGGCAGAGGUUGCAGUGCACCGAGAGUGUGCCACUGUACUCUAGCCUGGGCCACAGAGCCAGACUCCAUCUCAAAAGGAAAAAAAAAAAAAAAAA